rnacentral:rRNA from 1 species
UAAUACGAAGGGGGCUAGCGUUGUUCGGAAUCACUGGGCGUAAAGCGCGUGUAGGCGGAUCGUUAAGUCGGGGGUGAAAUCCUGAGGCUCAACCUCAGAACUGCCUUCGAUACUGGCGAUCUUAGAGUCCGGGAGAGGUGAGUGGAACUCCUAGUGUAGAGGUGAAAUUCGUAGAUAUUAGGAAGAACACCAGUGGCGAAGGCGGCUCACUGGCCCGGUACUGACGCUGAUAUGCGAAAGCGUGGGGAGCAAACAGG